ensembl:snRNA U1 U1 spliceosomal RNA
AGGCUUACCUGGCAGGGGAGACACCAUGAUGGCCAAGGUGGUUCUCCCAGGGCGAGGCUCAUCCAUUGCACCCCGGAUGUGCUGAGCCCUGCAGUUUCCCCAAGUGCAUCAUUUGCGGUAGUAAGGGACUAGUAAGGGACUGCGUUCGUGCUUUCCUCUC